UGGCCAGCAGGGGCAGCAGCAUCACAUACUUCUUCAGUUGCCACCACUACCAGGAGACUGGAAGAUGUUAGCAGACCCUAGCCCUCUAUAUCUAAGAACACUUUAUUUCACUUCUAACUACCUUAAUGGCUAUCCUUGGACUUGCUUCUGACGGAUCGGAAAAGAUGGUUUAUUAUGAGUAACUACAUAUAAGGUUUCAAAAUAUCUUCUCCCUGCAUUAGCCCACCUUGAAUUAGAGAUCUCCUGUCCCCUAACAGGAACAGAACUUAUCUCUGGAGGCUUGCCACAGAAUGUUCACAUCCUUCUGUAUGGUCUUCUGGGAAGAAAUUAAGCCUCUACACUUAAACACUAACAUUCUUUCUCCUCAAAGACUAUCGCUUUCCAGGAGAACUGGAAAGCUGAAGGGAGAUGAGAGCUGGAGUUAUUCACUCUAAUAUCAUCUUCAGCAAAAAUAUCUUAAAGCCAAUUGAUGAAGAUUUCUUCCCCAAAAGAUGAGAAGAUAGAUAUGUGUGUACAUGCUCCUGUGUGAUUUUUCUAAGAAGAAACAACGUGAACAAAGAUAUGAAGGUGGUAUCAGCAAGAAAUAUGUAGAGACUAAGGACAAAGAAUAAGAAUAGAGAGACACCAAUCCCAGAGGGACAGGUGAAAUGUUGCUGAGC